rnacentral:misc_RNA from 1 species
GGAAGGAUCAUUAUCGAGCAACUGGGUUGGCGCUCACGCCUCUCGUUCUCCCACCCUAUGUUUACUUACCCUUGUUGCCUCGGCGGGCCUGCGGGCUUUACCCGCUGCCUUACCCGCUGCUUUACCCGCUGCCGGCCCUAGCUGGCUAGCGCCCGCCAGAGGAACCAUUAAACUCUAUUUUAACGUGUCGUCUGAGUAAAACUUUAAUACAUUUCAAAACUUUCAACAACGGAUCUCUUGGUUCUGGCAUCGAUGAAGAACGCAGCGAAAUGCGAUAAGUAAUGUGAAUUGCAGAAUUUAGUGAAUCAUCGAAUCUUUGAACGCAUAUUGCGCCCUCUGGUAUUCUGGGGGCACACCUGUUCGAGCGUCAUUACAAUAUUCAAGCACGACUUGGUAUUGGGCGCCGCCCUCUACGGGCUCGCCUUAAACCCCUCGGCGCCGCCGUUCGUCUUUAAGCGCAGCGAGAUUCUUCCAGCGUUUUUUAAAGCCGGGCCUCGUCCGCCGAAUAACAUUAUAUAUUUUCUACGUUGACCUCGGAUCAGGUAGGGAUACCCGCUGAACUUAAGCAUAUCAAUAAGCGGAGGAAAAGAAACCAACAGGGAUUGCCUUAGUAACGGCGAGUGAAGCGGCAAUAGCUCAAAUUUGAAAUCUGGUCCUUUUAGGGCCCGAGUUGUAAUUUGUAGAGGAUCCUUUGGAGUUGGCGUCGGUCUAAGUUCCUUGGAACAGGACGUCAUAGAGGGUGAGAAUCCCGUAUGUGAUCGGACGUCUCCUCCGUGUAAAGGUCUUUCGACGAGUCGAGUUGUUUGGGAAUGCAGCUCUAAAUGGGAGGUAAAUUUCUUCUAAAGCUAAAUACCGGCCAGAGACCGAUAGCGCACAAGUAGAGUGAUCGAAAGAUGAAAAGCACUUUGGAAAGAGAGUUAAAAAGUACGUGAAAUUGUUGAAAGGGAAGCGCUUGCGACCAGACUUGACCGCGGUUGCUCAGCAGUCCUUCUGGGCUGUGCACUCUUCUGCGGGCAGGCCAGCAUCAGUUUAGGCGGUCGGAUAAAGACCGAGGGAAUGUGGCACCUUUCGGGGUGUGUUAUAGCCCAGGGUAUAAUACGGCCCGCCUGGACUGAGGACCGCGCUUCGGCUAGGAUGCUGGCGUAAUGGUUGUAAGCGGCCCGUCUUGAAACACGGACCAAGGAGUCUAACAUCUAUGCGAGUGUUUGGGUGUCAAACCCGUGCGCGUAAUGAAAGUGAACGGAGGUGGGAACCCUUGGGUGCACCAUCGACCGAUCCUGAUGUCUUCGGAAGGAUUUGAGUAAGAGCAUAGCUGUUGGGACCCGAAAGAUGGUGAACUAUGCCUGAAUAGGGUGAAGCCAGAGGAAACUCUGGUGGAGGCUCGCAGCGGUUCUGACGUGCAAAUCGAUCGUCAAAUUUGGGUAUAGGGGCGAAAGACUAAUCGAACCAUCUAGUAGCUGGUUCCUGC